rnacentral:rRNA from 1 species
GCAAGUCGAACGAGAACGGGUUAUAGUUUACUAUAACUGUCAGCUAAGUGGCGCACGGGUGAGUAAUAUAUAGGUAACGUGCCCUAGAGAGGGAUAACGUUUGGAAACGGACGCUAAUACCUCAUAUGCCUUUAAUACAUAAGUAUGCAAGGGAAACAUUUAUGGCUCUAGGAUGGGACUGUACGGUAUCAGUUAGUUGGUGAGGUAAUGGCUCACCAAGACAAUGACACCUAACUGGUUUGAGAGGAUGAUC